ACGCUCGACACCUACGGGAGCCAGCAGUGGGGGAAUAUUGCACAAUGGGGGAAACCCUGAUGCAGCGACGCCGCGUGGAGGAAGAAGGUCUUCGGAUUGUAAACUCCUGUUGUUGGGGAAAAAGAGGAUGGUACCCAACAAGGAAGUGACGGCUAACUACGUGCAGCAGCCGCGGUAAUCUGAGGCGGGCUGGACAAGGC
rnacentral:rRNA from 1 species